GCCCCAUCCCUGGAGGGGUUCAAGGCCAGGUUGGAGGGGGCUUGGAGCAACCUGUUGUGGUGGGAGGUAUGCCUGCCCCUGGCUGGAAGGAACCUUAAAAUGUCCCUUCCCAGCUCCUAAGCGUUCUGUGAUGCUAUGGUUCUUCAGUUCUCCUCUCCAGUGGCACCGGUAUGGCAUGAAGCUGGUUGAGAAACGACAUCUCAGGGGCUUGAUAUAUCUGCCAGCUCUUUUACUUCAACCAAAACUUCACAGGAGACCCUGCUGAGCUCCCAGUUUCUACAGACUUGGCAGAAGCAUAAUUUAGUAGUUAAUUCUGAUCUUACUAGAAGACCUCGGCAGAGGAAAUCCUUCAUAGAAGGCCUAGACAGAGGAAGUCCUUCAUAGAAGACCUUGGCAGAGGAAAUCCUUCAUAGAAGGCAGAGGAAAUCCUAGACCAGAAAAAUGCUAAAUCGCUGAGCAUCCACCUAUGAGAACAAAUACGCAGUACAUAACAGAUGUAUAGAAAUGCACAUCAUCUCUCUUUCAGUUGUCCUCUCCAGUAUGGCAUUGAAGCUGGAUGUGAAGCGACAUCUCAGGGGCUUGAUACAUCUGCCAACUUUCUUCAACUGAAACUUCUCAGGAGACCCUGCUGAGCUCCCAGUUUCUACCAGACUUGGCAGAAGCACAAUUUAGCAGUUUUUCCAGGUCUUCCUAGAAGCCAGGCUGACCGCUACCCCUCAGGGGCACAGCUAAUGGAGCCCACCAUGGUGUGACACUCGCACUGUCACAGAGAGGACACUUGCAGCGCAAGUGCUGGGACAGGGUGACUCUCAGGUGUGCCAGAGAGAGAUUGUAUUCUGAAAAUGAAGUGGAAAAGGCUCGUUGGAAUUUGUGCUGUAUUAUUUUUUUCUCUCAGACAAUGGCAGACCAAAAUCAGCCCCAGUGAAUAUACACAUCUGCUUUUCAUCCAGCUCCACGGGAAGAGGUGAAUCCCAGCAGAUGGAAGAAGUACAUUUCGAGCAUCACACCUUCUCUUCUUUCUGUACCAGUGGAGAGGUUGAUGCAAACACCGGUUCCAAAGCUGCACAGCCGCAAGCGCAGCGCCUGACACGGGGACACGUGUCCAUCCCGGCCAGGGAGGAGGAGGGAAGGAAUGGUACCCCACCCCAGGUAAUCCCCACCUCCAGCCACAAGCUUGAUUUGAGCUCUUUUACCUGUCUGUUAUCCCAACCUUGUUCCCAUUGCAGCUACGCUGGCUCCAUCGGGAUGUUUGGGGCUGCGUCUCCUCGGCUGCCAGGAAGGGUUUUUAACUGAACCCAAGGGGAUGCUGUCCCGGGUCCCUGAGGAGAUAAUCCCUCUCAGCCAGUCAUCGGGUACUAGGGAGAAACACACAAAAGUAGAUUUAAAGCCAUCUCACUAAAAGUAGUUCCCUACAUGCUGUAACCUUGUUAUAUGAAGUUGGAUUCUUGAAGCCACUCGGGCCAUCUACCCAACUUCUAAAAUUAGGUAUGUUUUAUGGAUGACGGCUAGAGACACAUUUGUUUUUAUGAAGUGUUAGAGCUUAAAUUUUGUGUAGGACAGUAAUUUGACGGACUGUCCCCGUCCUGUUGCGCUAGCCCUGCACAGACUCUUCCCUUCUGCACCCAGGUUUGGCAGGGAGACUUCUCCCAGCCCUUGGGAUGAUUAGGGCGAUGAACUCCUCCAGGACUUCUCGUCUCACUGGAGAAGGAUGAACCAAUCCUUUGAAAGUUUCCCCAGUUCUGAGACCUUGUACCACUGUUUCCUGACAUUACAGGGCCCGAGUCUCUCCUUCAUUCAGCGCUCUGCCACACACAGUCAUUUUUAAAGAGCAGCCAGGUACGAGCCUGUCUCAUGCAGCCUGGAAAAGGGUUUCUGGAGCACGUUCUAGAGCAGCACUGGGGCUCCAGCAAGCAAUGUGAACUGCCAAACCCCUCCUGAUGUGCAGAGUUCCCCGUCCUUUGUCAGCCAGCACCCACAGAUGUUCUGAGCAGACGCAGAACGUGCUCUAACAGCCAUGGGAAACAGCCCUGAAUUAGUAACUGCGGGUGCAAGAAGAGGUUUCGGUUCUGCUCUGGGGACCAGACGGGCUCGCUGAUAGUGCAGUUUGUUCCUGUAGCCAUCCCUGGUAAAAUUAAUUCCCUAAGGAGCAGGAGAAAGGCAGCCUGUUGUGUUAAUCCCCCCGACCUGCCCAGUAAAACCAGCUUCUCCCUCCAGGAAUUCUGAGUCCCCUGGCUGUGCUCAGGCACUGCCAGAGCGUCCCUGCCUCCUGACGUGAUGGGGAGAGAAUGAAAAUAGAGGGGGGGAAACUAAUUAGUCAACUAGAGCUAUCUACCUCGGCGUGCCUCACUCUCAGAUCUAGUAAAAUAAUGAAUUAGAA